rnacentral:rRNA from 1 species
CCUACGGGCGGCAGCAGUGGGGAAUCUUCCGCAAUGGACGAAAGUCUGACGGAGCGACGCCGCGUGAGUGAUGAAGGCCCUUGGGUCGUAAAGCUCUGUCAUCAGGGACGAACGGUCACGUCAGGAAAUGGGCGUGAAUUGACGGUACCUGAGAAGGAAGCCACGGCUAACUACGUGCCAGCAGCCGCGGUAAUACGUAGGUGGCGAGCGUUGUCCGGAAUUAUUGGGCGUAAAGCGCGCGCAGGUGGGAUCUUAAGUCUGUUCUGAAAGUUCGGAGCUUAACUCCGUGAUGGGAUGGAAACUGGGAUUCUUGAGUAUCGGAGAGGAAAGCGGAAUUCCCCGUGUAGCGGUGAAAUGCGUAGAUAUGGGGAGGAACACCAGUGGCGAAGGCGGCUUUCUGGACGAUGUCUGACACUGAGGCGCGAAAGCCAGGGGAGCGAACGGGAUUAGAUACCCCAGUAGUC